rnacentral:rRNA from 1 species
CCAGUAGCGGGGGAUAACUACGCGAAAGCGUAGCUAAUACCGCAUACGCCCUACGGGGGAARGGGGGGGAUCGCAAGACCUCUCACUAUUGGAGCGGCCGAUGUCGGAUUAGCUAGUUGGKGGGGUAAAGGCCUACCAAGGCGACGAUCCGUAGYUGGUUUGARAGGACGACCAGCCACACUGGGACUGARACACGGCCCARACUCCUACGGGAGGCAGCAGUGGGGAAUUUUGGACAAUGGGGGCAACCCUGAUCCAGCCAUGCCGCGKGUGCRAARAAGGCCUUCGGGUUGUAAAGCACUUUUGGCAGGAAARAAACGGCGCCGGAUAAUACCUGGCGUAACUGACGGUACCUGCARAAUAAGCACCGGCUAACUACGUGCCAGCAGCCGCGGUAAUACGUAGGGUGCAAGCGUUAAUCGGAAUUACUGGGCGUAAAGCGUGCGCAGGCGGUUCGGAAAGAAAAGAUGUGAAAUCCCAGGGCUCAACCUUGGAACUGCAUUUUUAACUCCCGAACUAGAGURUGUCAGAGGGGGGUGGAAUUUCCACGUGUAGCAGUGAAAUGCGUAGAUAUGUGGAGGAACACCGAUGGCGAAGGCAGCCCCCUGGGAUAAUACUGACGCUCAUGCACGAAAGCGUGGGGAGCAAACAGGAUUAGAUACCCUGGUAGUCCACGCCCUAAACGAUGUCAACUAGCUGUUGGGUUCUUCGGAGCUUGGUAGCGCAGCUAACGCGUGAAGUUGACCGCCUGGGGGAGUACGGUCGCAAGAUUAAAACUCAAAGGAAUUGACGGGGACCCCGCACAAGCGGUGGGAUGAAUGUGGAUUAAUUCGAAUGCAACGGCGAAAAACCUUACCUACCCUUGAAACGUCUGGCAAUCCUGAACAGAUUUAGGAGUGCUCGAAAGAGAACCGGAACACAGGUGCUGCAUGGCCGUCGUCAGCUCGUGUCGUGAGAUGUUGGGUUAAGUCCCGCAACGAGCGCAACCCUUGUCAUUAGUUGCUACGAAAGGGCACUCUAAUGAGACUGCCGGUGACAAACCGGAGGAAGGUGGGGAUGACGUCAGGUCCUCAUGGCCCUUAUGGGUAGGGCUUCACACGUCAUACAAUGGUCGGGACAGAGGGCAGCCAACCCGCGAGGGGGAGCCAAUCCCAGAAACCCGAUCGUAGUCCGGAUUGCAGUCUGCAACUCGACUGCAUGAAGUCGGAAUCGCUAGUAAUCGCGGAUCAGCAUGUCGCGGUGAAUACGUUCCCGGGUCUUGUACACKCCGCCCGUCACACCAUGGGAGUGGGUUCUACCAGAAGUAGGU